CCCCAGCGCUGGCAAGGGGUUGGUCGAGGAGGAGCAGGUGUCUGCUGUGUGAGGCCCGGGCUGCAGACAGAGCCACCCAGGCAGGAGGCCACGUCCCUGACUGGAGCCUGAGACUCGCGCGCAGGCCUGCAAUAGCGGAGCCAGUUUAUCUCCCCUUCUCUGCCCUAAAGCAGCAUGGGGCUUCUCUUCCCUCCUCCUCUCCCCUUUGCAUGUGAAAUACUGUGAAGAACUUGCCCUGGCACCUGGAGACUUUGUUGCUUGGCGAAAUGCACAGUGCAGCAGCCCCCACGGCGCCCACUGCAGCUGCCGUCGCGUCACACGCUGCCCUUCCAGACCCCCAGGAUCCUCGCUGCCACAGGACUCCACUCCGCCGCACUCAGCAGUGCCUGGACGGGUGUUAGCAGUCUUCCUUUGAGAUCUCAAUCCAGUCCCAGCACUUGGGCUCACUGGGGACAAUGAGAAAGCUAGCCAUUGAACUAGCUGGGCCUUUAACCCAUACCCGAGACAAAGAAACAGCGAAAUCCUUUGAGUAGAGUGCUUGUCCACUUGUUUACAAAGCCCCUUUUUAAAAAAAUUAGUUUAAAGAUUAUGUUCGAAGAGUAAAUGUUAUAUCCACUUAAUGAGUACAGUAUUAUUUUGAACCUUAAGCAGGGUCGCCAGCCUGGGUUUCCACACAAUCCAGAUAUGCCUGACAGGGUGUGGCCGCACCAAGAGGAGGGGCCCUGGCCCUCUUUCCAAGUGCCUGGGCCCGAAGUGUGAGAGAAGCCAGUCUCCGGGCCCUGCUGCCGGCCACUCCCCAUGGGGGCACGACCAUGGUCACACGCUUUGCACUUUGGCCAGGGGAGAGACCCGUGCUCUGUCCUGCCCGAGCCUGACAGAGGCAGCCCACUGGAGUCAGAUGGCAACCCCAUUUUUAAGUUAUAUUUCUUUGAUUUUUGUUAAUUUAGAGCUUUAGAGUUUUUUGUUUUGUCUCUUCAAAGAACCAUUUAUAACUGGAUAGCAUUGCAGUGAACACAGCUUGGGCUGCUGGAGCCAGUGCCAGCUGUGGAUACUGCUCUCUCACGACAGCCGCCCCUUCCUGAGCUGGCGUUAGGCCUGGUGGGAGAGCACCCUGGCUGGAGAUGCCUGCCAGCCGUUGCAAGGUGGGCACCUCCCAGCGGCCGUGGAGCGCUGCGUGGAGAGAGAAGCCUGAGUGUAGCAAGCGUCUGCUCACAGCUGCUAUGAACCCUGAGGACUGAAAGUGACCUUCCUCUCCACUUGUGUGUGGUUUUUGCACAGACUCUAGGAAGUGAAGGCUGCCAAUCGAGUAGUACUCAGAUGUGAGGAACUGCUGGUCUUGGAUUUUUUCCAUUAAAUUCAGCUGAUCAUAUUGAUCAGUAGAUAAAAAUAAAUAGCUUCAAAUUUUAAAAGUCAAAUUGCAGUGUUUUUUCACUGUAUCCAACAAUGUCAGUGCUUUAUUUAAUAAUUAUCAUGGCAUUUGUCUACUUAUAUAUUACAUUGUCAAUUAUACAUUUGUAAUUUUACAUGUAAUAUGCAUUAUUUGCCAGUUUUAUUAUAUAGGCUAUGGACCUCAUGUGCAUAUAGAAAGACAGCAAUCUAGCUCUACCACAAGUUGCACAAAUGUUAUCUGAACAUUAAGUAAUUGUAGAACAUAGGACUGCUAACUUCAGUUCACUCUGUGAUGUCAAGUGCAGAAUGUACAAUUAACUGGUGAUUUCCUCAUACUUUUGAUACUACUUGUACCUGUAUGUCUUUUUAGAAAGACAUUGGUGGAGUCUGUAUCCCUUUUGUAUUUUUAAUACAAUAAUUGUACAUAUUGGUUAUAUUUUUGUUGAAGAUGGUAGAAAUGUACUAUGUUUAUGCCUCUACAUCCAGUUUGUACAAGCUGGAAAAUAAAUAAAUAUAACAGAAAGCCUUGCCUAUAUUCUCAGUGAAUCGUGCAUGCUUUUUAUUCCUGCAGUGAGACAGGCCUCUGGUCACACUGCUGCAACGUUCCUGGGAGCAAAGGGACAUGGCCGCUCGGCUGGGC
ensembl:lncRNA